rnacentral:misc_RNA from 1 species
GUAUUGAUAGCGCGUGAUUGCGCAAAGAACAUUCUACACUAGGGCGUUUGAUGUUAAAAACGUGAGCACCCCCCCCUCCGAGGAAGGGAGGACACACGCGGUGAUGCACAAAGGGGUAAGAUGGAUAUUUGUAUGUGAGAGCACUCGGGCGUGCACGACGAAAAGUCAGCGACAACCCGGGUACCCCCAUUGUACGAUAAUGAUCCUUCCGCAGGUUCACCUACGGAAA